AUACGGGAGGCAGCAGUGGGGAAUAUUGCACAAUGGGCGAAAGCCUGAUGCAGCAACGCCGCGUGAGUGAUGAAGGCCUUCGGGUUGUAAAGCUCUGUCUUUUGGGACGAUAAUGACGGUACCAAAGGAGGAAGCCACGGCUAACUACGUGCCAGCAGCCGCGGUAAUACGUAGGUGGCAAGCGUUGUCCGGAUUUACUGGGCGUAAAGGAUGCGUAGGUGGAUAUUUAAGUGGGAUGUGAAAUACCCGGGCUUAACCUGGGUGCUGCAUUCCAAACUGGAUAUCUAGAGUGCAGGAGAGGUAAGUGGAAUUCCUAGUGUAGCGGUGAAAUGCGUAGAGAUUAGGAAGAACACCAGUGGCGAAGGCGACUUACUGGACUGUAACUGACACUGAGGCAUGAAAGCGUGGGGAGCAAACAGGAUUAGAAACCCCAGUAGUCCC
rnacentral:rRNA from 1 species